CAUAAUUGCUGCUCAGCAUUAACCCUUCUGUGGAUUUGAUUGCUGCUCGGCACAACUUUUCCUGUGUUGACAGUAAAUGCCAUUAACCACAUUUUUAUAGGUGGAUGAAUAUGUGACAACCCUAAGACCCUGGAACUCUUAGCUGGAGGGAACCACUACGUCAAGAACCACCCCUCCCCGGGACUCGCCUCCUAGCUUUGCCGUGGGUGAGCCGAAUCCUCUUAGACCGCAGUGCCGCCUGCACCCGUCUGGAACUGCCAGUCGUUGCAGCUGCCCCUCCACACGAAGAAACCCCUCGUGAACUGCCUUCAACAGCUCCCUACGGGUUCCUGCCAUUCCUGUCCUCCUGGAACUCCACCUGCACGGCCUAAGCUGCCUCACUUCCAGGCCCGCCACUGACUUCUCCAACUUGAUCGCCCUUGUAGCGGAUGGCAUUGGACUGUCCUCAAGGGUUAUGUUAAAAGUGCAAUUCGUGUGUUUAUUCUCAUGUAUAACUAAAAUUGUAUGUAGCACUCGUAUGUUUGUUCGUUAGUUUUCAUCCGUAUUCCAUACGAAUGAAAACUACCGAACCAGUAGACCACCCCAGAGAGAAGUGUGUACCUAAUUAGGCUUUCACACUUCUCUAACCGCAAGUUAAUUGGUGCGAUCGGUACUUUAUAGAUGUAUCUGAGUGGCCGCCAUUCGGCAUACGAACACAUGGCGGCGGCCAUCUUACCAACGAAACCUCAGUGGUGUUUGGUCGUUGAGUGUCUGGAAUUCAAAUCGGACACUCAAUUACCCGAACACCGCUGAGACCUCCAGAGCUCCGUAACUCCCAAACGGAGGGGCCAAUCAGCCCCUCGUUCGGUGAAUUAAAAGUACCGAACAAGGGUAUUCAGACGAAUACCAAUUUAAUAGUGGAUGGCAAGGAUUUAUGUGUAUUUUAUCUCCCGAACGGAGAACGACCGCAGAGCCAAAACACAUGGAACCCUUUUCGGCUACCACCUCAUGUGCGGUCGGUCAAAUUGUCUCUUCCACCUAAUCCCGAACCCCUGGUCUGAUCUGGGUGAAUUUUGAAUACGUUGGUCAACCAGAUCAGGGCUACCAGGGGGUACCACUUAGACAAUUGUAUCUGACUGUUUUAGGGUACAUCCAAAAACCGGAUAAAACUGUAGCAUGUAUAAGUGGAUUAUGUGUCACACUGAGGGGAGGAGAUGUAUGGGAGGUAACUGUGACGAGACCAAUCUCGCCACAUUGCAUUGGAGAAGACUGGUUGCUCGCCUGCUGCCUUUGGACUAUGGCCCCCUGUUAAAAGACAUCUUUUUUUACCUGCAGAAAAGCUUCAUUCGUGCUUUUCUGCCUGGGGUUCGGUAGAUUUGUUUGAAUGUGUUAUACCCCAGAUAGGAAUCCCAUGGAGCCCAUUCGUAUGAAACUGACUGUAAAGACUUUGGCUCCAUGGCGAUUAAACUGUAUUCGUGUGGUCUGAGCGCCAUUCGCUUAAUAAUGUGCGCUCAGUACAGCGACCCUGACAGCAACAGAAUGGAACCAGCAGUGGAGUACAGAUACUCUGUACAGGAAUUUGACCGUAUGAUGUGGUUGCGGCUGAACUUCUACGGGCCUAAUCCAGCUGAGAAAUCCGUGAAGUUCGUGAGGAGUCUAGUAUUCAAGACUCUGCUGUACCGGGCAGAUGGUGACGGUCAGCUGCCACGGUGGGUAGACCUCCACCGGCAGCUACAGUUGCGGGACAGAGAGAGCCCAGUCUCCUCUCCCCAGCGGCAGUGUGAUAUGCCGGGAAUUGGGAGCCCAGUCUCCAUUCCCCAGCGGCAGUGUGAUAUGCAGGGAAUUGGGAGCCCAGUCUCCAUUCCCCAGCGGCAGUGUGAUAUGCAGGGAAUUGGGAGCCCAGUCUCCAUUCCCCAGCGGCAGUGUGAUAUGCCGGGAAUUGGGAGCCCAGUCUCCAUUCCCC